rnacentral:lncRNA from 1 species
UGAUAAUGAUAUGUGCCCAGAUCUACCAAGAAGUUUAAUAAAUAGUAAAAAUAUAGCAGAAAAAGAAAUAAUAAUAGGAGUUAGAAAAAUAAAAAUAGAAUUCGAAGUAAGGGAAGAAAUGCAAAAAGCAGAUAUAAUAUUAGGAAUAAAAUGGUUAGAACAAGUAAAACCAUAUAAUAUAGAACAUACACAAUUAACCUUAACAUAUAACAUU